rnacentral:rRNA from 1 species
CCUACGGGAGGCAGCAGUGAGGAAUAUUGGUCAAUGGACGAGAGUCUGAACCAGCCAAGUAGCGUGAAGGAUGACUGACCUAUGGGUUGUAAACUUCUUUUAUAUGGGAGUAAACUGUUCCACGUGUGGGAUUUAGUAUGUACCAUAUGAAUAAGGCUCGGCUAACUCCGUGCCAGCAGCCGCGGUAAUACGGAGGAUCCGAGCGUUAUCCGUAUUUAUUGGGUUUAAAGGGAGGGUAGGUGGAUUGUUAAGUCAGUUGUGAAAGUUUGCGGCUCAACCGUAAAAUUGCAGUUGAAACUGGCAGUCAUGAAGACAGGAGAGGUGGGCGGAAUUCGUGGUGUAGCGGUGAAAUGCUGA